GUAACACGUAGAUAAUCUAUCCUACACUGGGGGAUAGCCCGAUGAAAGUUGGAUUAAUACCGCAUAUAGCUAUAUAGUUGCAUGAUUAUGUAGUGAAAGAUUUAUUGGUAUAGGAGGAGUCUGCGGCACAUUAGCUAGUAGGUGAGGUAAAGGCUUACCUAGGCGACGAUGUGUAGCCGGUCUGAGAGGAUGAACGGCCACAAUGGAACUGAGACACGGUCCAUACUCCUACGGGAGGCAGCAGUGGGGAAUAUUGCACAAUGGGGGAAACCCUGAUGCAGCAACGCCGCGUGAGUGAAGAAGGUUUUCGGAUUGUAAAGCUCUGUUAGCAGGGAAGAGGAAGGACGGUACCUGCAGAGGAAGCCACGGCUAACUACGUGCCAGCAGCCGCGGUAAUACGUAGGUGGCAAGCGUUGUUCGGAAUAACUGGGCGUAAAGGAUGCGUAGGCGGUUAAACAAGUUAUAUGUUAAAUAUAUAGGCUUAACCUGUAGAAAGCAUAUAAAACUGUUUAACUAGAGUGCAGGAGAGGUAAGUGGAAUUCCUAGUGUGGCGGUGAAAUGCGUAGAGAUUAGGAAGAACACCAGUGGCGAAGGCGACUUACUGGACUGUAACU
rnacentral:rRNA from 1 species